AUGGUGGUGGCACUGUUCGAACCUGGUUCAGUUCUUUCAUUUCCUAAGCCAACAGCAACGGAACAAAAUCGUGCACGUGUGUGUGUGCACAUGCGUGUGUGCACGUGUGUGUGUGCAGUCAGCAACAGCACCUGCCUGUGCAACUUUUGCCGCUUCGUGACCCUAAAUUGCCUUCAGAAGGCCGGCUCCUCCCUAGAAUGGUGCCCGAGAGAUGCCUGCUGGGUCCUGGAGCUAAGUGAGAGGCACCAGUUCCAACAGCUCUGGAACCCUGGCUCCUGGGGCGGGAGCCGUGCGGGGCCUCCCAUAACCACUCGCUGCCCAGCAGAAGGGCGGAAGCACUGCUCUCCUCCCUGCCCCCCAGGAGCCCCACCACACCUCUCUUCAAAGGUGACAUCAGCACCUAGUGGCACUCUGUCCUGGAUCCCGCCUCCUUCUCAAGGAAGGCCACCCACCCCGCGCUUCCCAGGGCUCCGGCUCGGCCUCUCCCGCUCUCCACCCCCCAUCAGAACCCUCAGGGUCUCUACUGGAAAACACCCCUCCUGCGUGGACGAAACUCAGCCGCCCGCUGCCACCUCUCGGUGCCGCAAGCUCGGUCCCAGCCCUGCCAUCCUGGUGCACCCCCACCAUCACCACCAGGCCUCGCGCUGGCCGCUCCGUGCUCCCGGCGCCCGACACUGCGGAGACGCGCCCGACACCGCCGGCUCCCCGGGCAAGGGGCGCACGGGAGGGAUUCAGACCUGCGACCAGCGCGAGGCUGCGACCCUUCGGAGGUGCCUGCCCAGAGAGAGGACCCUCGCGAGACGGGAAGCGCCUUUCCUCCGGCCCUGGCAGGGAAAUGGGGGCGCAGUCACCGGCCCCCGCCCCCCGCCCCCGGGAGACUCGCUAGCUCAGCCCCCUCCCCGGAGCCGCGGGAGCCGAGCGCGCGCUUACGCCCUCCGCGCAAGCCGGACAUCGCCCCCCACCCGCAUUCCCAAGGGCACGGGGCACCGCAAAGCCUGGCGAGGGGCGGAGGAGGGGGCAGCAUCGACGCCCGCCGAGGCCGCCGUAGCGGGCGCCAAGAGGGGCUGUGGUCCCGGGUGCGCUAGAGAGUCACCCCCCUCCCCAGACUGUGCAGUGGGGCAGGAGGUGGAAAAAGAGCAUCCUGCCGCCCUAGCCUGGGUCUGGGCGCUCACCUGUCUGCAGUCCCCGAAGGCCGGCAGCUCGGCUGCGAGGUGA
rnacentral:lncRNA from 1 species